UGGGUUUAGUUCCGCAACGAGCGCAACCCUCGUUUUAUGUUUCCAGCACGUAAUGGUGGGAACUCAUGGGAUACUGCCGGGGUCAACUCGGAGGAAGGUGGGGAUGACGUCAAAUCAUCAUGCCCCUUAUGUCUUGGGCUUCACGCAUGCUUCAAUGGCCGGUACAAAGGGCUGCAAUACCGUGAGGUGGAGCGAAUCCCAAAAAACCGGUCCCAGUUCGGAUUGAGGUCUGCAACUCGACCUCAUGAAGUCGGAGUCGCUAGUAAUCGCAGAUCAGCAACGUUGCCGUGAAAACGUUUCCGGGUUUUGUUCUCACUGUCCGUNUAAUUUUUAACAAGGNAAGCNUUAGCAAGGACACGGUAACCCGANA
rnacentral:rRNA from 1 species